AUUUUAAAUAUUUGACGUCCGGUUUGACUUAAACACACUCAUAUCUCAAAUGAUUUACGUAUGCUUGGCGUGUGAUGUACAAACCUAAGUAUUUAAGUAGUUGAGCUUGCUGUAGAUAUAGUUGUUUACAGUAUGAACGGGCCGCUUUGUCUGAUCAGGUACUAGUUAGUUGGUACUAACAAAUGGAUGUCAACACUAUGUCAUUGAAGACAGGGUGAAACAAAAUGUGUAAGCCGACCAAGUACCAAUAUCCCACUCUAAUCUAUGUUUCUAAAUAAAUCGUAUAAAAUCAGUACUAUCUACAUUAACUGUUUAUAAUAAAAUUUAUUUGAAACUUGUGAAACAGGCAGUGAAUCAUGUUUUUAUACCCGAAGAAACAAUUGUUCCGCAGCUAUUUUUGUUUUAUACUCCGAUAACGGCUAAGAAUGGUAUACAAAAUCUUACAGACUUUACAGUGACUUUUUCACUAGUUUCAAGUUUUAAUUGAGAAUUAUCAUAUUACGAAAACUACUGUAAAUAGUACCUAAUCAUGCGCAUCAUUUGUUACCAGUUUUUACUUCUGUAUGUCAAUCGGCUAAUAGGUUUAUGUGACGAACACCAUUUACUCAGAUGUUGUGAAACGGGACCUAGUGCGCCGUACUUACAUCAAUAAGACGGUAUUAAUAAAUAAAGAUAUAUAAAAUAAUAUUGGUAAAUACA